rnacentral:rRNA from 1 species
AGUCGUAACAAGGUCUCCGUAGGUGAACCUGCGGAGGGAUCAUUACACAAAUAUGAAGGCGGGCUGGAACCUCUCGGGGUUACAGCCUUGCUGAAUUAUUCACCCUUGUCUUUUGCGUACUUCUUGUUUCCUUGGUGGGUUCGCCCACCACAAGGACAAACAUAAACCUUUUGUAAUUGCAAUCAGCGUCAGUAACAAAUUAAUAAUUACAACUUUCAACAACGGAUCUCUUGGUUCUGGCAUCGAUGAAGAACGCAGCGAAAUGCGAUAAGUAGUGUGAAUUGCAGAAUUCAGUGAAUCAUCGAAUCUUUGAACGCACAUUGCGCCCUUUGGUAUUCCAAAGGGCAUGCCUGUUCGAGCGUCAUUUGUACCCUCAAGCUUUGCUUGGUGUUGGGCGUCUUGUCUCUAGCUUUGCUGGAGACUCGCCUUAAAGUAAUUGGCAGCCGGCCUACUGGUUUCGGAGCGCAGCACAAGUCGCACUCUCUAUCAGCAAAGGUCUAGCAUCCACUAAGCCUUUUUUUCAACUUUUGACCUCGGAUCAGGUAGGGAUACCCGCUGAACU